CCAUCGUGCCAGACAGUGUCGAAUGCUUUCUCGACAUCGAGAAAACACGCGACAGUGCAUUCAUUUUUGUUGAAACUGUCAGUUAUUUCUGUCCAACUA